UAGCUCUCUGUAGCGGAGAAUCU
rnacentral:snRNA from 1 species